rnacentral:tRNA from 1 species
GGGGCUGUGGCUCAGUUGGCAGAGCGCAUCGUUCGCAUCGAUGAAGUCGGGGGUUCGAGUCCCCCCAGCUCCA